CUGCCAUCCUCGCAAUCCCGAGUGCAUUCAACCUGAUCAGCAAACUUCAGUGCAUCCCCCAAAGAAGGGCAACUCCUCUCUCCAGAAAACGGCAACGUGGCACAGACGCUCAGCGCUGCCCCUCGCUUCUACUUUCCCUUCACUUACUUUCUUCCUGGCUGGUCGGUAGUUCAGUCCAACAUCCUCUGGUUGCGGUCCAGACAGCCUUCACCACCGCCCCCCCCCACCCCCUAUCCCACCCACCCACGAACGCACUGAAGUGCCUUCUCUCUCCCCCUCCCCAUUGCCGCUGGCCCACGCCAGACGACCAGAGGCACGCAUGGAACUGCAUCCUCUCCAAACCGCAGCGGUGCGCAUCCUGUUUUGUGGGCGACCCGCCCUGACGACCGGUGUCGUGAACCUGCGCGUGCUCCUUGGUGGCGACGGGCAGUACUGCCUGGCAGAGAAGCGAAAGGCAAAGCUGCACCACAGCAGCCGCCAUGGCACCCGGGGAGACGCGGCAGUCAGCAACGGCGUCGAAGUGAGUGCUGAUUCCGAGGAGAAGCGCGAGAGUGUCUACCGCGUCUGCUCCUCUGAAGGACUGCCCGACGGAUGCUAUUACGUGAAGGCAGAUCGACACUACUGGGUCAUGCACAUGAAGGGGGAACUCAGGGCAGCCAUCUCAACCGCGGCAGCACCAACCCAUCCUUCCGCAUCACUUUGGAACACGCAAGCCACCCUGGCCUCGUCACCGAUGCCUUUAGCAGCAACCGCAUCGACAGCGGAGCCCUCGAAGGUGGAAGAAGACGUGUUGGCGAGGAGAGCCCAAGACCAAGGUACUGCUGCUAGUGCCCCUGCAGAAGCGGCGGGUGCGAUGGCGGCGACGGCAGAGUCGUCCUCAGCUCUGGCACCUGCAGAUGGUGCGGCGCGUGCUGGUGCGGCAAGAAAGCAGAAGGUGGUUUCGACGAAGCGAAAGUGCACGAGACGCCUGAAGGCUGUGGGAGAGGGCAUGGAGAAACUCCCGCUGAUCACCACCACAUUCUCCGAUCCGGGCUCUCUCGCGGAAGCGUCACCAACGCAAGAGCAGCAGCAGAGGGCGUCCAUGCAUGCUGUGGACGUAGUCGGCGAUGUUGAGGAGGCGCUAGGAGAGCAGCUCCUGGGAACUCCUCUCUCCGCGCGGCAAGCAGCCAAGGUGGCAACCGACGUCCUCGUCACGUGUGAAGAGACGCCACCCUCACUGCAGCAGCAGGAAAAGCAGUGGGAGAGACGCAAGAAGACUUCGCGUGUGCACGUCGACGCCGUCGCCGAGGACUGCAAAGGCAGCGAGGCUGAUGCGGCGGGAGGCUGCGUGAGCGCGAAAAAGACACGCGACAGCAGCCGUACAGGUGGCGGCAACGACCUCAAUGUCGAAGUUGUAGGCGGCACGCCUCUUGUGGAGCAGCUGGUCGCCGAUGCAUCUCAGCCCCCGAAGCAGCCGCAACAUCGUGGAAAGCGGCGCCGCAGCGAUGAAGUCACUGCCGAGGAUCCGCCGGCACUACCCUCCGUGCGGUACCCGAGCACUCAGGUCAAGCCUCUGACGUCGUCUUUCCCAGAGACGUCGCCGCUUCCGACGCCGGAAAAGAGCAAGGCGGCGCGGAGGAAGAUGGGCCUGAGGCAAGACGAGGACGAGGCUUCCGCGCCUGCAUCAUCUGCCAAUCUAAGGGAUGCCACCCUACCUCUGCCGUCGGCACUCACCGGCAGCGACACCGAAAGUGCCCCAAUGCCGGCAUCACCUGCAUGCAAGUCACGCAAGUCCAGCACUGCCACCUCAGCAGCGUUCGCCGCAGCAGCAUCGGAUGCAGCCGACACGGCCACUUUAUCGAAGAUUCCAGCACCGCCUCUUUCCCCGCUUUCUCCUCGCUCUGUGCCGGGCGGGCGGCAAAUCACCCGUCCACAUGGUAAGAAGGCGCCAAACCACGCGGGCACGAACACGGCUUCUCUUGCUCAUCCUCCUCCACGGCAGGCGCCGCCGCAGCAGCAGCAACAGGAAGAAGAAAACCCCCCUGUGAAGCGAUCGCCGGCCUCCGCUCCGCAGGAAACCACCCCGAACAUCCUCUACAGCAACCGCAGCAGCGACGUCGCGGCUCCCACUGCCCGUGACAUAAUGCAACAGCAGCAGCACGGCAGCCACUCAGCGCUCAACUCUCCUUCAACCCAAUCGCAGGUCGGCGCGGAUCGAUCGGCGAGCACCAGCAGUCUCCUGGGGCCUCUACUGUCUCCGCUGCUGCAGCGCCAGUCUCAGUGGGGUGGUAUCGGCGGUGGCGCUGCCGGAUCGAGGGGACUGCAUGAGAGUAUGAUGAGCGGAGGCAGCGGCGGCGGCGGCUUCUUUCCAUCCGACAGCCCCGCGCUGGGCUUCACACAGGUGCACAGCACGCUGGCAGAAGAGUUCAGCCUGGAUGUGUCAGAGACAGAGUCGUCGUCGGCGGCCUCGGAGUAUCUGUGCGAUUUGGAAGAGUAGCACUGAAGGUGGGGAAGAGGAGGGGACAGGCGCCGUGGCAGAGAGGCAGCGCGUCACCGUGUGGCCUGUUUGGGGGGAGGGGGUCGAGAAGAGCGGUGGCUGUGGGCACUUCUGCAGCGGCUAGCAGUGCCUUCUUUCGCAUGGAUGCCUUUGCCCUAUCGCCCGUGGAGUCCAUGGCGUGCUCGCCCUCCUCCUUCGUGUCGCUGAUUCUCCCCGUCUGCGCGUUGAUCGCGAGCAGAGGUCUGCCUUCCGACCAGCAACAAGAAGCUGGUUUGUACGGCAGCGAAACGAAGAAAAAAAAAAACAUUUUUUAAAGGUGGCCAUGAUAAUGAUGCACAUCUGUACCGGAACGUUUUUGCGACGGGUUUUGGGUGCGUGCGCUUACUCAGUGUUUCGAUCGCACCUUGGCGACGACACAGCUGAAGGGCACCGAGUGUAUCGUCGCCAAUUCCUCCCUCGGUCGCUCCUGCCACCGCGCAUGAUGCAGCGACGAUCUUCGUGACAGCCACGGUGCUGAGGAGGGGUUGUAGGACCCACGCGAGGCAGGAAAAGGGCGACAUAAACGGUUCCUGCGCGUCACCAUGGAAAGCAUGAUCGCUGGCUUUUGGCCCCCGCCACGCACUGCAGCGCGGCUCUCCACUUUGCGCGUGUGUGCCUCGCCGCGCGUUACUGUUCUUUCCCCU
rnacentral:misc_RNA from 1 species